GACUACUCGGGUAUCUAAUCCUGUUUGCUACCCACGCUUUCGUGCCUCAGCGUCAGUUAUGGUCCAGAGAAUCGCCUUCGCCACUGGUGUUCUUCCUAAUCUCUACGCAUUUCACCGCUACACUAGGAAUUCCAUUCUCCUCUCCCACACUCUAGAUAUCCAGUUUGAAAUGCAGCUCCCAAGUUAAGCCCGGGAAUUUCACAUCUCACUUAAAUAUCCGCCUACGCAUCCUUUACGCCCAGUAAAUCCGGACAACGCUUGCCACCUACGUAUUACCGCGGCUGCUGGCACGUAGUUAGCCGUGGCUUCCUCCUUGGGUACCGUCAUUAUCGUCCCCAAAGACAGAGCUUUACAACCCGAAGGCCUUCAUCACUCACGCGGCGUUGCUGCAUCAGGCUUUCGCCCAUUGUGCAAUAUUCCCCACUGCAGCCCCCCGUAGG
rnacentral:rRNA from 1 species